rnacentral:rRNA from 1 species
GUGGGGAAUAUUGGACAAUGGGGGGAACCCUGAUCCAGCCAUGCCGCGUGUGUGAAGAAGGCCUUUUGGUUGUAAAGCACUUUAAGCGAGGAGGAGGCUACCGAGAUUAAUACUCUUGGAUAGUGGACGUUACUCGCAGAAUAAGCACCGGCUAACUCUGUGCCAGCAGCCGCGGUAAUACAGAGGGUGCAAGCGUUAAUCGGAUUUACUGGGCGUAAAGCGCGCGUAGGUGGCCAAUUAAGUCAAAUGUGAAAUCCCCGAGCUUAACUUGGGAAUUGCAUUCGUUACUGGUUGGCUAGAGUAUGGGAGAGGAUGGUAGAAUUCCAGGUGUAGCGGUGAAAUGCGUAGAGAUCUGGAGGAAUACCGAUGGCGAAGGCAGCCAUCUGGCCUAAUACUGACACUGAGGUGCGAAAGCAUGGGGAGCAAACAGGAUUAGAUACCCCAGUAGUCC